AGUGAACGCUGGCGGUAGGCCUAACACAUGCAAGUCGAACGGCAGCACAGUAAGAGCUUGCUCUUACGGGUGGCGAGUGGCGGACGGGUGAGGAAUACAUCGGAAUCUACUUUUUCGUGGGGGAUAACGUAGGGAAACUUACGCUAAUACCUCAUACGACCUACGGGUGAAAGCAUGGGAUCUUCGGACCUUUCGCGAUUGAAUGAGCCGAUGUCGGAUUAGCUAGUUGGCGGGGUAAAGGCCCACCAAGGCGACGAUCCGUAGCUGGUCUGAGAGGAUGAUCAGCCACACUGGAACUGAGACACGGUCCAGACUCCUACGGGAGGCAGCAGUGGGGAAUAUUGGACAAUGGGCGCAAGCCUGAUCCAGACAUACCGCGUGGGUGAAGAAGGCCUUCGGGUUGUAAAGCCCUUUUGUUGGGAAAGAAAAGCAGCAGGUUAAUACCCCGCUGUUCUGACGGUACCCAAAGAAUAAGCACCGGCUAACUUCGUG
rnacentral:rRNA from 1 species